rnacentral:misc_RNA from 1 species
GUAGGUGAACCUGCGGAAGGAUCAUUAUCAACGUUAUCCACGUACUAACCAUUAUCAAAAUGUGAACUGUAUCAAUCCUCUGAGUGAAGCAGUUGGAAGUGCGAUUUCUGUUCGUUCUCGAAAGGGAGCGGGCAGAAAACGCUGUCUUUCUCAGAGUGUACUUUCUAACUAACUAUUAACCUAUUGAACCGAAACUAAAUUACUUCUUUACAUGUGAACUGAAUUAUCAUUCUUUCCCUUCUCUGUCUCU